GAGCACUGCCCACAGCUGCCCUUGCCCCUGCCUUUCCACGUUGCACAAGCCCAGCGCACGGUACCCACUGGAUAUGCCCGAGGCCUCCAGAGGAAAGGAAAGGAGGAAAAGGGACAGAAGAAAUGUUCACAGGAACUGCAUAUGGGCCUGCUACUUGUGUCAAAAUGUGACUGAACUCUCUUCCAGCAGGCUGGAGUGCAGUGGUGCGAUCUCAGCUCAUUGCAACCUAUGCCUCCCGGGUUCAAACGAUGCGUAGUAUGGCAGCAAUUAAGAUGGAAGUAAUGAGGAAAAGGAAUACUUAUCAAUGGAGAUUAGAGAGAGCCAAGGUGUGGGGAAAAGAGUGACUUCACCUUAAAUGUUAACCUGCCAUGUAACUUCUGACUAAUCCCAGGUCCAGAAAUGCCUCCAAAUGUCUCGUUGCUGUAUUACUCUUUAUGUGGAAACACCUGUUCACUGCUAUUUCACUGAACUGAAGCAGUCAAAAGAGAAUGCUCAUGAGAUCCCAUCACCACCACUUUACCGAACUACUUCCAUAUUGUGAAUCCCUGGAAGGCAAGAUCGCCAUUCUGGUCUCUUGUGGAUAUCAAUGCUGAUCUCAGCUUCUGAUGCACGGCAGUCAAUUAAUAAAUGAUUGUUGCCUGAAAAACUGAGCCCCAAAACAAUAUUACAAGUUUAAUAUCAGUAAAGGAUUUAAUGCUUUCUAACAUGAAGAUACCAGAUCUUUUCUAUUCCUGGACUUUUAGAGUUGCUGAUUUUUGUAUAACCCAGAGAUGGAUUUAAAUGCAGAGUGUAUGAACUUCUUCAUUCCUGAGGGAGGACUUAUGAUUUCAUGAGAAAUGCCCUAGGAAAGGGGCCGGGGAGACUGAUGGAGAAGAAGAGUUUGGGAGGGAAGCCCCAAGGACCAUCUGCCCCAUCAGAGUCACAUGCAGAGGGUCCUGCUCCUGCCGUUGGAAGUUGGCUUCCUGAGCUGCUGAACGUGCCAGUCCUGCUGACCCACUCUCAGAUAUCACAGGCACCCGCUGUGUCUGACAGAGACCUUUCUGCAAGUACACGUGCAGGUCUGCUCUGCAAAGGCGUUAUCAUCUGCAGAUUAUUGCACAGAGUGGCUACGAGCUGUGGUGUGAUCCUGUCACAGAGAGAGCCUGGUCACGUUUUCAGAACAGCAGGAAACAGGUACACCUGUAAGCUUAUACUUAUCAGAUUUAAAAAUAAAACAAAAAAUCCAUGCUAUUCCAUGAAAAUCGGACUCAAAUAAACUUAGUCACUGAUCUGUGAAGUAAAUAAUCUGAUGGUAAUGCAUCAGUUGACACUUGGGCCUGGGUUUUUAGGCACUAAUGAAAGCCAGGGGCAAAAUAAUUUUUAAUCUACCAUUAUUUCC
rnacentral:lncRNA from 1 species